rnacentral:rRNA from 1 species
CCUACGGGUGGCAGCAGUGAGGACUAUUGGUCAAUGGGCGGGAGCCUGAACCAGCCAAGUCGCGUGAGGGAUGACGGCCCUAUGGGUUGUACACCUCUUUUGCCGGGGAACAAAGUGCCGCACGUGUGCGGUUUGGAGAGUACCCGGAGAAAAAGCAUCGGCUAACUCCGUGCCAGCAGCAGCGGUAAUACGGAGGAUGCGAGCGUUAUCCCGCUUUAUUGGGUUUAAAGGGUGCGUAGGCGGACGAUUAAGUCAGCGGUAAAAUUGCGGGGCUCAAACUCGUCGAGGCGUUUAAACUGGGUGCCUUGAUGGGGCGAGAAGUACGCGGAAUGCGGGGUGUAGCGGUGAAAUGCAUAGAUAUCACGCAGAACUCAGAUUGCGAAGGCAGCGUACCGGCGCCCAACUGACGCUGAAGCACGAAGGCGUGGGUAUCGAACAGGAUUAGAUACCCGUGUAGUC